UGGAUUAGUGGCGAACGGGUGAGUAACACGUGAGUAACCUGCCCUUGACUCUGGAAUAAGCGUUGGAAACGACGUCUAAUACCGGAUACGAGCUUCAGCCGCAUGGCUAGGAGCUGGAAAGAAUUUCGGUCAAGGAUGGACUCGCGGCCUAUCAGGUAGUUGGUGAGGUAAUGGCUCACCAAGCCUACGACGGGUAGCCGGCCUGAGAGGGUGACCGGCCACACUGGAACUGAGACACGGUCCAGACUCCUACGGGAGGCAGCAGUGGGGAAUAUUGCACAAUGGGCGCAAGCCUGAUGCAGCAACGCCGCGUGAGGGACGACGGCCUUCGGGUUGUAAACCUCUUUUAGUAGGGAAGAAGCGAAAGUGACGGUACCUGCAGAAAAAGCACCGGCUAACUACGUGCCAGCAGCCGCGGUAAUACGUAGGGUGCAAGCGUUAUCCGGAAUUAUUGGGCGUAAAGAGCUCGUAGGCGGUUUGUCGCGUCUGCUGUGAAAACUGGGGGCUCAACCCCCAGCCUGCAGUGGGUACGGGCAGACUAGAGUGCGGUAGGGGAGAUUGGAAUUCCUGGUGUAGCGGUGGAAUGCGCAGAUAUCAGGAGGAACACCAAUGGCGAAGGCAGAUCUCUGGGCCGUUACUGACGCUGAGGAGCGAAAGCAUGGGGAGCGAACAGGAUUAGAUACCCUGGUAGUCCAUGCCGUAAACGUUGGGAACUAGAUGUAGGGGCCAUUCCACGGUUUCUGUGUCGCAGCUAACGCAUUAAGUUCCCCGCCUGGGGAGUACGGCCGCAAGGCUAAAACUCAAAGGAAUUGACGGGGGCCCGCACAAGCGGCGGAGCAUGCGGAUUAAUUCGAUGCAACGCGAAGAACCUUACCAAGACUUGACAUAUACGAGAACGGGCUAGAAAUAGUUCACUCUUUGGACACUCGUAAACAGGUGGU
rnacentral:rRNA from 1 species